rnacentral:rRNA from 1 species
AGCGAACGCUGGCGGCAGGCCUAACACAUGCAAGUCGAGCGCCCCGCAAGGGGAGCGGCAGACGGGAGAGUAACACGUGGGAACGUACCCUUCAGUUCGGAACAACCAAGGGAAACUUUGGCUAAUACCGAAUACGUCCGUAAGGAGAAAGAUUUAUCGCUGAAGGAUCGGCCCGCGUCUGAUUAGCUAGUUGGUGGGGUAAUGGCCCACCAAGGCGACGAUCAGUAGCUGGUCUGAGAGGAUGAUCAGCCUCACUGGGACUGAGACACGGCCCAGACUCCUACGGGAGGCAGCAGUGGGGAAUAUUGGACAAUGGGCGCAAGCCUGAUCCAGCUAUGCCGCGUGGAUGAUGAAGGCCCUAGGGUUGUAAAGUCCUUUCGGCGGGGAAGAUAAUGACGGUACCCGCAGAAGAAGCCCCGGCUAACUUCGUGCCAGCAGCCGCGGUAAAAC